AUCCUUUCGGUUCAUGAAAGUGAUGAUUGGUGACGUCACGGGUCUCCGUGAAAGGUGCGAACCGAACCUUGUUACGCUGUCGCACCGACGCCUUCUGAUC